rnacentral:rRNA from 1 species
CAUUUUGGUCCUUGACGCGUUAUUGUUUAUAACCUAAAUUACACAUGCAAGCCUCUGCGCGCCAGUGAGAAGCCCAAUAGACUCGCACGAGUAAAGGAGACGGCAUCAGGCACGCCAUGCGCAGCCAAUUACGCCACGCAAACGCCACACCCACAAGGGCCUCAGCAGUGAAUAAUAUUAAAAUAUAAGUGAAAACUUGAUUUAGUUAAGGUUAAAACAGCCGGUAAAUCUCGUGCCAGCCACCGCGGUUAUACGAGAGGCCAAAGACAAUAGCAACCGGCGUAAAGAGUGACUAAAGUGAGACCAAUGUAUUAAGGGGAAAUUAUUUCUAAGCCGUGAAACCCAUAAGAGACAAGAACCGCGCCCGCCCUUAAUAAAAAGAUAGCUUGAAUUCACGAAAGCUGGGGCACAAACUGGGAUUAGAUACCCCACUAUGCUCAACCAUAAACUUAAACGGCCAAAAAUCUUAAGCUGUUCGCCAGGGGACUACAGGCAAAAGCUUAAAACCCAAAGGACUUGGCGGUGCCCAAUACCAUACUAGAGGAGCCUGUCCCAUAAUCGAUAAUCCACGAUGAACCUCACCCCCCUUUGACAAUACAGCCUAUAUACCGCCGUCACCAGCCUACUUCGUGAGAGCACAGUAGUAGGCACAAUAGCACACGCAAGCACGCCAGGUCAAGGUGUAGCUAAUAGGGCGGAGGAGAUGGGCUACAUUUCCCAAAACUGAUAAAUACGGAAGGCCACAUGAAAGCCGAGCCAGAAGGCGGAUUUAGCAGUAAAAUAGACAAGACUAUCUACUUGAAGUGAGCCUAGGGCACGCACACACCGCCCGUCACCCUCCUCAAAGCACCAUAACAUCUAACCUAUACAAACCGCGCAACACAGAUGAGGUA